CACGUAGGGUGCGAGCGUUGUCCGGAUUUACUGGGCGUAAAGGGCGCGUAGGCGGCGCGGUAAGUCACUUGUGAAAUCUCUGAGCUUAACUCAGAACGGCCAAGUGAUACUGCAGUGCUAGAGUGUGGAAGGGGCAAUCGGAAUUCUUGGUGUAGCGGUGAAAUGCGUAGAUAUCAAGAGGAACACCUGAGGUGAAGACGGGUUGCUGGGCCAACACUGACGCUGAGGCGCGAAAGCCAGGGGAGCAAACGGG
rnacentral:rRNA from 1 species